rnacentral:rRNA from 1 species
UACGGGGGGGGCAAGCGUUGUUCGGAAUUACUGGGCGUAAAGGGCUCGUAGGCGGCCAACUAAGUCAGACGUGAAAUCCCUCGGCUUAACUGGGGAACUGCGUCUGAUACUGGAUGGCUUGAGUUUGGGAGAGGGAUGCGGAAUUCCAGGUGUAGCGGUGAAAUGCGUAGAUAUCUGGAGGAACACCGGUGGCGAAGGCGGCAUCCUGGACCAACACUGACACUGAGGAGCGAAAGCGUGGGGAGCGAACAGG